rnacentral:misc_RNA from 1 species
GAAGAUCUGACGGUACUUGAGGAAUAAGCCACGGCUAAUUCCGUGCCAGCAGCCGCGGUAAUACGGGAGUGGCAAGCGUUAUCCGGAAUUAUUGGGCGUAAAGCGUCCGCAGGCGGCCUUGUAAGUCUGCUGUCAAAACGUGGAGCUUAACUCCAUUUCGGCAGUGGAAACUACGAGGCUUGAGUGUGGUAGGGGCAGAGGGAAUUCCCGGUGUAGCGGUGAAAUGCGUAGAUAUCGGGAAGAACACCAGUGGCGAAGGCGCUCUGCUGGGCCAUAACUGACGCUCAUGGACGAAAGCCAGGGGAGCGAAAGGGAUUAGAUACCCCUGUAGUCCUGGCCGUAAACGAUGAACACUAGGUGUCGGGGGAAUCGACCCCCUCGGUGUCGUAGCCAACGCGUUAAGUGUUCCGCCUGGGGAGUACGCACGCAAGUGUGAAACUCAAAGGAAUUGACGGGGGCCCGCACAAGCGGUGGAGUAUGUGGUUUAAUUCGAUGCAACGCGAAGAACCUUACCAGGGUUUGACAUCCUGCGAAUCCCUUGGAAACUUGGGAGUGCCUUCGGGAGCGCAGAGACAGGUGGUGCAUGGCUGUCGUCAGCUCGUGUCGUGAGAUGUUGGGUUAAGUCCCGCAACGAGCGCAACCCACGUCUUUAGUUGCCAGCAUUAAGUUGGGCACUCUAGAGAGACCGCCGGUGAUAAACCGGAGGAAGGUGUGGAUGACGUCAAGUCAUCAUGCCCCUUACAUCCUGGGCUACACACGUACUACAAUGCUACGGACAAAGGGCAGCAAACUCGCGAGAGCUAGCAAAUCCCAUAAACCGUGGCUCAGUUCAGAUCGUAGGCUGCAACUCGCCUACGUGAAGGAGGAAUCGCUAGUAAUCGCAGGUCAGCAUACUGCGGUGAAUACGUUCCCGGGCCUUGUACACACCGCCCGUCACACCAUGGAAGUUGGCCAUGCCCGAAGUCGUUACUCCAACCCUUGUGGAGGAGGACGCCGAAGGUGGGGCUGAUGACUGGGGUGAAGUCGUAACAAGGUAGCCGUACCGGAAGGUGCGGCUGGAUCACCUCCUAACAGGGAGACAAAACUGAUCAUGAUGUCUGAGGUUAUCAAGAGAGAUCUUGAUAACACCAAUAAAUCUUAGGCCAUGGUCCUGUCAUCUCGAAGGUCGAUCGGUACCUCAGGGAAGCCAAAAGCAAAGCCGAAAGGUUGAGGUGUAUGGUUUCCAUCAGUUUCUAAACUUCUGUCUAGGUCACCCCAUAGAGCCCAUCUGGGCCAUUAGCUCAGGUGGUUAGAGCGCACCCCUGAUAAGGGUGAGGUCCCUGGUUCAAGUCCAGGAUGGCCCAUUCACCGCCUGCGGAGCGGGCAGGACUUGAAGGCUGGGGGUUUAGCUCAGUUGGUAGAGCGCCUGCUUUGCAAGCAGGAUGUCAGCGGUUCGAGUCCGCUAACCUCCAUCAACAGUAGCCUCCGAUGAAGAGGCGAGGUGACGUAGACGUGAUUGGUUGAAGACUCCAGCUUCUUUUCUUUCCUAAAGAAAGGUAGAAAAGACGCUGGACUCACUGCGGUUCCGUAAGGAACGAGUAGUUCAGCUGAGAACCUUGACAACUGCAUAGGUCUGGAAAGAAAGCAUCUCAUGGAUGCCUAGGGAAGCGCAAGCAGAACUAGGAAAAUUCUUGAGUUUAGAGCCGAAAGCUUUCAGUGUCUUCCUGCUCAAGUAGCAAGGGAGUCAGAUUUUUGAUUAGGGAUAGCAUCGAGUGAAAGCAAAGUGUGAAUCUAAUCAAA